CAGAGCCGCGGUAAUACGAAGGGUGCAAGCGUUAAUCGGAAUUACUGGGCGUAAAGCGUGCGUAGGCGGUGAGUUAAGUCUGCUGUGAAAUCCCCGGGCUCAACCUGGGAAUGGCAGUGGAUACUGGCUUGCUAGAGUGUGUCAGAGGAUGGUGGAAUUCCCGGUGUAGCGGUGAAAUGCGUAGAGAUCGGGAGGAACAUCAGUGGCGAAGGCGGCCAUCUGGGACAACACUGACGCUGAGGCACGAAAGCGUGGGAAGCAAACAGGAUUAGAUACCCCCGUAGUCCCUGUCUCUUAUACA
rnacentral:rRNA from 1 species